rnacentral:rRNA from 1 species
AUACGUAGGGUGCGAGCGUUGUCCGGAAUUACUGGGCGUAAAGAGCUCGUAGGUGGUUUGUCGCGUCGUCUGUGAAAUUCCGGGGCUUAACUCCGGGCGUGCAGGCGAUACGGGCAUAACUUGAGUACUGUAGGGGAGACUGGAAUUCCUGGUGUAGCGGUGAAAUGCGCAGAUAUCAGGAGGAACACCGGUGGCGAAGGGGGGUCUCUGGACAGUAACUGACGCUGAGGGGCGAAAGCUUGGGUAGAGAACAGGAUUAGAUACCCUGGUAGUCCAUGCCGUAAACGGUGGGCGCUAGGUGUAGGGGUCUUCCACGACUUCUGUGCCGUAGCUAACGCAUUAAGCGCCCCGCCUGGGGAGUACGGCCGCAAGGCUAAAACUCAAAUGAAUUGACGGGG